UACGAAGGGGGCUAGCGUUGUUCGGAAUUACUGGGCGUAAAGCGCGCGCAGGCGGUUUUCCUAGUCAGUGGUGAAAGCCCGGAGCUCAACUCCGGAAUUGCCUUUGAUACUGCAAAUCUCGAGUCCGAUAGAGGUGGGUGGAAUUCCUAGUGUAGAGGUGAAAUUCGUAGAUAUUGGGAAGAACACCGGCGGCGAAGGCGG
rnacentral:rRNA from 1 species